rnacentral:rRNA from 1 species
CCUACGGGUGGCAGCAGUCGAGAAUCAUUCACAAUGGGGGAAACCCUGAUGGUGCGACGCCGCGUGGGGGAAUGAAGGUCUUCGGAUUGUAAACCCCUGUCAUGUGGGAGCAAAUUAAAAAGAUAGUACCACAAGAGGAAGCGACGGCUAACUCUAUACCAGCAGCCGCGGUAAUACAGAGGUCUCAAGCGUUGUUCGGAAUCACUGGGCGUAAGGCGUGCGUAGGCUGUUUCGUAAGUCGUGUGUGAAAGGCGCGGGCUCAACCCGCGGACGGCACAUGAUACUGCGAGACUAGAGUAAUGGAGGGGGAACCGGAAUUCUCGGUGUAGCAGUGAAAUGCGUAGAUAUCGAGAGGAACACUCGUGGCGAAGGCGGGUUCCUGGACAUUAACUGACGCUGAGGCACGAAGGCCAGGGGAGCGAAAGGGAUUAGAUACCCGAGUAGUC